GGAAGCAUGCUCUUAUUAGUCGAACUGCUGCGGUUGUGUCUUGUGUCGGCCUCGGUUGCCAGGAGCAGCACCGGAGACUUUAAAGGAUCGUACAAUUUAGUAUCGUAGAAAGCACCAAACCAGACCUAUUAUUGAAUGCAUGAGGAAUGGAAGAACUGUCAUGUCAUGUUCGGUUGGUGAACUCAAAGUAAAGGGCCAAAAGGACGAGCAAGAGUUGGUCAUUCAAGAAGCUUUGGCUAGCCAGCUUGACUUAUAAAAAAAGAAUAGAAGGAAGGG
rnacentral:lncRNA from 1 species